CGGCGUGCCUAAUACAUGCAAGUCGAACGGCUUUUCUAUGGAAGCUUGCUUCCACUGAGAAGAUAGUGGCGAACGGGUGAGUAACAACGUGGGGUAACCUGCCCAUAAGAGGGGGGAUAACAUCCGGAAACGGGUGCUAAUACCGCAUAGUUUUCUUGAUCGCAUGAUCGGGAAAGGAAAGACGGCCUUUGUGCUGUCGCUUAUGGAUGGACCCGCGGCGUAUUAGUUAGUUGGUGAGGUAACGGCUCACCAAGACGAUGAUACGUAGCCGACCUGAGAGGGUGAUCGGCCACAUUGGGACUGAGACACGGCCCAAACUCCUACGGGAGGCAGCAGUAGGGAAUCUUCCGCAAUGGACGAAAGUCUGACGGAGCAACGCCGCGUGAGUGAAAGAAGGUUUUCGGAUCGUAAAACUCUGUUGUCAGAGAAGAACAAGUUGGAGAGUAACUGCUCCAGCCUUGACGGUAUCUGACCAGAAAGCCACGGCUAACUACGUGCCAGCCGCGGC
rnacentral:rRNA from 1 species